rnacentral:rRNA from 1 species
AUUGAACGCUGGCGGCAUGCCUUACACAUGCAAGUCGAACGGCAGCACGGGUGCUUGCACCUGGUGGCGAGUGGCGAACGGGUGAGUAAUACAUCGGAACAUGUCCUGUAGUGGGGGAUAGCCCGGCGAAAGCCGGAUUAAUACCGCAUACGAUCUACGGAUGAAAGCGGGGGACCUUCGGGCCUCGCGCUAUAGGGUUGGCCGAUGGCUGAUUAGCUAGUUGGUGGGGUAAAGGCCUACCAAGGCGACGAUCAGUAGCUGGUCUGAGAGGACGACCAGCCACACUGGGACUGAGACACGGCCCAGACUCCUACGGGAGGCAGCAGUGGGGAAUUUUGGACAAUGGGCGAAAGCCUGAUCCAGCAAUGCCGCGUGUGUGAAGAAGGCCUUCGGGUUGUAAAUCACUUUUGUCCGGAAAGAAAUCCUUGGCCCUAAUACGGUCGGGGGAUGACGGUACCGGAAGAAUAAGCACCGGCUAACUACGUG